rnacentral:rRNA from 1 species
GUGAGGAAUAUUGCGCAAUGGAGGCAACUCUGACGCAGCCAUGCCGCGUGCAGGAAGAAGGCGCUACGCGUUGUAAACUGCUUUUAACCGGAAAGAAACCCCAGGACGUGUCCUGGGUUGACGGUACCGGAGGAAUAAGCACCGGCUAACUUCGUGCCAGCAGCCGCGGUAAUACGAAGGGUGCAAGCGUUAUCCGGAUUCAUUGGGUUUAAAGGGUGCGUAGGCGGAGCGUUAAGUCAGUGGUGAAAUCCUGCAGCUUAACUGUAGACUUGCCAUUGAUACUGGCGCUCUUGAGUGCGCUUGAAGUGGGCGGAAUGUGCCGUGUAGCGGUGAAAUGCUUAGAUAUGGCACAGAACACCAAUUGCGAAGGCAGCUCACUAAGGCGAUACUGACGCUGAGGCACGAAAGCGUGGGGAUCGAACAGGAUUAGAUACCCUGGUAGUCC